rnacentral:rRNA from 1 species
AGAACGAACGCUGGCGGCAGGCCUCAAACAUGCAAGUCUAGGGGGUGCAGCAAUGCAUCACCGGCGGACGGGUGCGUAACACGUGGGAAUGUACUUACUGGUUCGGAACAACUCAGGGAAACUUGAGCUAAUACCGAAUGUGCCCGAAAGGGGAAAGAUUUAUCGCCAGUAAAUCAGCCCGCGUCCGAUUAGCUAGUUGGCGGGGUAAAGGCCCACCAAGGCGACGAUCGGUAGCUGUUCUGAGAGGAAGAUCAGCCACACUGGGACUGAGACACGGCCCAGACUCCUACGGGAGGCAGCAGUUGGGAAUCUUGGACAAUGGGGGAAACCCUGAUCCAGCCAUGCCGCGUGAGUGAUGAAGGCCUUCGGGUUGUAAAACUCUUUCGACGGGGACGAUAAUGACGGUACCCGUAGAAGAGCUCCGGCUAACUUCGUGCCAGCAGCCGC